rnacentral:rRNA from 1 species
GGGUUGUGAGGUUAAGCGACUAAGCGUACACGGUGGAUGCCCUGGCAGUCAGAGGCGAUGAAGGACGUGCUAAUCUGCGAUAAGCGUCGGUAAGGUGAUAUGAACCGUUAUAACCGGCGAUUUCCGAAUGGGGAAACCCAGUGUGUUUCGACACACUAUCAUUAACUGAAUCCAUAGGUUAAUGAGGCGAACCGGGGGAACUGAAACAUCUAAGUACCCCGAGGAAAAGAAAUCAACCGAGAUUCCCCCAGUAGCGGCGAGCGAACGGGGAGCAGCCCAGAGCCUGAAUCAGUGUGUGUGUUAGUGGAAGCGUCUGGAAAGGCGCGCGAUACAGGGUGACAGCCCCGUACACAAAAAUGCACAUGCUGUGAGCUCGAUGAGUAGGGCGGGACACGUGGUAUCCUGUCUGAAUAUGGGGGGACCAUCCUCCAAGGCUAAAUACUCCUGACUGACCGAUAGUGAACCAGUACCGUGAGGGAAAGGCGAAAAGAACCCCGGCGAGGGGAGUGAAAAAGAACCUGAAACCGUGUACGUACAAGCAGUGGGAGCACGCUUAGGCGUGUGACUGCGUACCUUUUGUAUAAUGGGUCAGCGACUUAUAUUCUGUAGCAAGGUUAACCGAAUAGGGGAGCCGAAGGGAAACCGAGUCUUAACUGGGCGUUAAGUUGCAGGGUAUAGACCCGAAACCCGGUGAUCUAGCCAUGGGCAGGUUGAAGGUUGGGUAACACUAACUGGAGGACCGAACCGACUAAUGUUGAAAAAUUAGCGGAUGACUUGUGGCUGGGGGUGAAAGGCCAAUCAAACCGGGAGAUAGCUGGUUCUCCCCGAAAGCUAUUUAGGUAGCGCCUCGUGAAUUCAUCUCCGGGGGUAGAGCACUGUUUCGGCAAGGGGGUCAUCCCGACUUACCAACCCGAUGCAAACUGCGAAUACCGGAGAAUGUUAUCACGGGAGACACACGGCGGGUGCUAACGUCCGUCGUGAAGAGGGAAACAACCCAGACCGCCAGCUAAGGUCCCAAAGUCAUGGUUAAGUGGGAAACGAUGUGGGAAGGCCCAGACAGCCAGGAUGUUGGCUUAGAAGCAGCCAUCAUUUAAAGAAAGCGUAAUAGCUCACUGGUCGAGUCGGCCUGCGCGGAAGAUGUAACGGGGCUAAACCAUGCACCGAAGCUGCGGCAGCGACGCUGAUGCGUUGUUGGGUAGGGGAGCGUUCUGUAAGCCUGCGAAGGUGUGCUGUGAGG